ACGUGCUCGACACCAAACCGGCUGCUGCCAUCUUCUUCCCAAACCUACAAGGAGAUUUCAUGCCAUGCAGCACAAAAUGGAUACAAUCCAGGAAAAAUAACGAAUGAACAGAGACUGGAAGCAUUUGAGAACGCAGACUGAACAAUAUUAGCAUUGUGAACCUGCCUGAGGGAUUAGAAGGAAAGGAUGCAGCUGGGUUUUCCUGGAAAUUGGCUGCCAAGGAUUUUGAAACAAAGAUGAGAAUGACCAGAUAAGUGUCGAAAGAUUUUUUUAAAAUCCAUGUUAGAAGACCAACAGCUUGAAGCACAUGAUCAUCAUCAUCAGGAAUUAAGGCAGUCACUUCACCUGACACAUACAAGAAAUAAUCUUUUCUCCCUAAUGUCAUGCUGUUGAGCUACAGUCUCGGGCUGACUCACACCGUCUCAGAAAAAAAAAAAAAAUUAAUCUAGAUGUGUGCACCAAGCAGCAGCAGAUGACUCUUCUACCCACAAACUGUGGGUUGCAGCUACCAGGAAGUCAUUUGUUCUGCGACAUGAAGUCAGCUGGGCAGACAAACACUUAUUUAAGAGUACAAAAGGAAUCUCAGCAUCUGACAACAAUGAAUGGCUAACAAUUUUAUUCUCUUGAUUUUAAGUGUGGAAAGGAAUAUUAUGCAUGCAAUUGGUUGUUUAGCUGUUUAGGUGUGCAAUGAUAUAAACAACUUUGAAAGUAAUCUUAAUAUGACAUACUUCUAACUAUGAAUCAUUUCUUGCAGAUGAGAAUUGUUGUAGAAAAAAAAUGUUUUGAUUGUAGUGAAUAAAAUACCUCCCAAGAU